rfam:Paenibacillus sp. Soil750 contig_1, whole genome shotgun sequence.
CAAGUAAAGCAGAAGCGCCCGCUUCUCACCUGACUAACGCAACGUUGGCUGGUUUGAAUGAAUCAUCAUGUACAUUCAAUAGGUUUGUCUUAAACCUGUUAUUGAUGAAGAUGUGGGCCCACUGUGCCCGCAUCUUUUUUAUAUU